rnacentral:rRNA from 1 species
UCGACACAACUACGCCAAAUAGUGAAUGGCUUGGCUUGGGUGGCGAGGAAGGGCGUGGCAAGCCGCGAUAGGCUCUGGGGAGACGCAUGCAAUCUACGAUCCAGAGAUACCCGAAUGGAGUAUAAUCCACCAGAGUUGCCGCAAGGCGCUCCGGUGUGCCGAAAGGCACGCGAACGCUGGGGAAGGAAACAUCUGAGUACCAGCAGGAAGAGAAAUCAAUUGAGAUCCCGUUAGUAGCGGCGAGCGAAAACGGGUUAGCCCAAACCGAAUCCCUGCAUGAAAGUGCAGGGAGAUGUGGUGUUCGCCCCAGCAUAUGCGACCCUGCGACCAGUAGCCGAAGUUGCCUGAAAUGGCACACAACAGAAGGUUAUAGUCCUGUAAGCGAGCUGGAAGCGAGGUCGUGCUGAGGGCAGAGUAGCUGGCUUCGUCAAUGGCUAGCGAAGACGGAGGAAAGCAGCCUCCAAGGCUAAACACUACCCAAGACCGAUAGCGAAACAGUACCGCGAGGGAAAGCUGAAAAGUACCCCGAAAGGGGUGUGAAAAGGGCCUGAAACAAUUUGGCUACAGACGUGCGUUGCAUGAAAGAGGUAUGAAUCCAACGCGAGGCUCCGCAAGGGGCCUCAAGGGGGGUUAAGUGCCUCAGUGUGACGCGUUCCGUCUAGAAACACGGGCCAGGGAGUUAACUGUCAUGGCGAGCCUAAGGGUUAGAAGCCCGGAGGCGAAGGGAAACCGAUUCUCCGUAACGCCCUUAAAAGCGCGAGGGGGGAGGUCUGAAAGGGCCUUUGAGUCAUGGCGGUUUAGACUAGAAACCAAACGAUCGUGUCCAGAACAAGGUGAAGCCGGGCGAAAGCCUGGUGGAGGCCUGCAAGGGUCUUAACGUGCAAUUUAGUCCCCUGAUUCUGGACAAGGGGCCAAAAGCCUAUCUAGCUUGGUGAUUGCUAGUUCCAAUCGAAGCGGAUCCCAGUCCUGUCUCCGCUGAUGUUGUUGACGCUGUAGAGCACCGAUAAGAAGACAAGGAUUCGAAAGGGUCCACCUUCAUUUCGAACUCCGAAUGUGUCAACGCAGACGACGCGGGGAGGCGGGUUUAUGUGGGGUAAGCCUCAUAACCGAGAGGGGUUUAACCCAGACUAGAGUUAAGGUCCCCAAAUUUGGGCUAAGUGUCAAGCAAAAGGCAGUCUUUGACCAAAAACAGCAGGGAGGUAGGCUUAGAAGCAGCCAUCCUUCAAAGAAAGCGUAACAGCUCACCUGCCGAGGUUAGGGGCGCCGAAAAUGGACGGGGCUAAAGCCCAGUACCGAUACUCUGGACUGCGUCUCUGUGAGACGUAUGUGGUAGAUUGGCGUGGUGAUUGGGAAGAAGCUGGGCCGUGAGGUCCAGUGGACCGAUUUCCAGUGCAGAUCCUGGUAGUAGUAGCAGCGUAGUCGGGUGAGAAUCCUGAUCGCCGAAAGGACACGGUUUUCCUGGCAAUGCGUCAUCAGCCAGGAGUUAGCCGAUCCUAAGAACGAAACCAACGUAUUCGUUCGAACAAGGGAAUGCAGUUAAUAUUCUGCAGCCUUGUGCAUUCCGUUGCCCUCGCAAGAGGGCUAAUAUCGCCUCUGACGCUUCCGGAUACGGUUUGCAGAGUUUAUCGCUCUGUUUAAUCUAUUGAGGAAGAGGGAGAGUCGUAAUGACGAGAACUCUUCCGAGAAGAGAAUAGCGGCCCGUUGGGGUCGUUUACUGGAUUCCAGGAGACAGUGAAAACAGAGGAAUGAGAGGAAUGUGUAAGAUCGUACCUAGAACCGACACUGGUGAUCCUAGGUGAGAAGCCUAAGGCGUAUCGGGGAACUGUAGGUAAGGGAACUCGGCAAAAUAGCCACGUACGAUAACUAGAAGUGGUGCCUGCUUUCUUAAUGUGAAAUUGGGAUAGCAGGUUGCAAUAACGAGGGGGUCCCGACUGUUUAAUAAAAACACAGUAAGCCGCAAGUCCGAAAGGAUGUGUACGGCUUAUGAAUCCUGGCCAGUGCAGGUACCUUAAACCUGGGUUCAACUGGGCCAAGGGCCUGUUAACGCCGGGAGUAACUCUGACUCUCUUAAGGUAGCCAAAUGCCUUGUCGGGUGAGUUCCGACGUGCAUGAAUGGACCAACGAGGGCCCCGCUGUCCCUAUCUACGACCCGGCGAACCUACGUAAGCUGGACGAACAGUCCAGCAACUUCCAUCGGGGAGAGAAGUCCCUGUGGAGCUUUACUGCAGCUUGUUGCUGCGAUUCGGUCUUAAUCGCAUAGUGUAAGGGGGAGCCGCUAUGUCGUCGCCUUCGGGUGACGAAUAGGCGCCAAUGUAACACCCCUCCCUUGAGACUGUAUCGCUAACUCCUACGGGAGGACACCGGCAGGUGGGCAGUUCGGCUGGGGCGGCACCCCCUUGAAAAGAUAUCGAGGGGGCCCAAAGGUUGGCUCAGCAGGGUCAGAACUCCUGCGUUGAGGGCAAGGCCAAAAGCCAGCCUGACAGGAAACUUAAACGCAGAGUUUUCUGCCACGAAAGUGUGGCCUAGCGAUCAUUCAAUCCUCACUGUUGGGGGCUGGAUGUGACAGAAAAGUUACCCCAGGGGUAACAGGCUCGUCGCGGGCGAGAGCUCCAAUCGACCCCGCGGUUUGGUACCUUGGCGCUUCGGCGCUCGGGGCAGAAUCGUGGUAACGCGAUUUGAAGUAUCGGCUUAUAACGGCGAACUCCUCCUUCCCAAAGGGAACAAGGACGAAUUCUGGGGAGAGGACAACGCCGUGGGAAGUCUACGGUAAAGAAGCGAGCUUCGCUGCUAUAGCUGGCAGCGAUAUGGGCAAAAGAACAGCCAUGAACAAAGUUCGCUCCUAAGGGCACUUCUUCUAUCCAUGGAAGGACAAAGACAGAUGAAACAAAGGUUCGAAAUGAACGACAUCUUCCGGCAGCACACGCUGUCCGAAAGGAUGGCGGAUGCAAACGGGCGCGACCCAGACUAAGGGGCUAUCCUGCCAUUGGGCGGGCUGGUCCACGUCUAGGUCGUGGUUUUUGUCC